UUGUCCUGACCCCACACCCAGAGAUCCUUAUUUAAUUGAUCUGGAGCAGGGCCCAGCACAGAGCCCAGGUGAGAAACUGAAGUGUGCUUUUUAAGACUCUUGUCUGCAGACCUCAUGUUUCCAGAUAUAAUAGGAUACUUGAUAAAAUGUGGGUUUCUAAACCCACCACAGGCCUAAUGAAUCAUAUUUUCCAGUAUGGAAUCCAGACAUCAACAGUUUAAUGAGCUACUAUGAACUGAAUCGUGUCCCCCACUCCACCCCAAAAUUCAUGUUAAAGUCCUGAUCUCUAAUAGGAUGGUAUUUGGAAGUGGGGCCUUUGAGAGAUAUUAGGGUUAGAUGAGAUCAUAAGGGUGGAGCCCCAUCAUGAGAUUAGUGCCCUCAUAAGAAGAGACAAGUAAGGACACAGAAGGUGGCUGACUUCAAGCCAGGAAGAGAGUUCUCAUCAGAAACUGACCAUGCUGGUACCUUGAUUUUAGACUUUUAGCCUGCAGAAAUAGAGCCAUCAUGGCUGAAAUCCUACUGGAUGGCUGGAUAUAAUUUACUGUUCACCAUGUUUGCCCGUGAGUCAAAAUACAUGACACCAAGGAUGAAUCUUGUGUCAAGGUAAGAAGUGGUGGUGAAGUCAUUUCUUGGCCAGAUUUCAAGCAGCAAAGAAAGCCUGGAAUGGAUUGCUUCUGUGAUAUCCUGGUCUCAUGAACAUUUAAAUUCUACUCCCAGCAAUUUUCAAUUAUACAAUAAAAUGUUAUCAACA